GUUAGGAAUAUUGGACAAUGGGCGAAAGCCUGAUCCAGCCAUGCCGCGUGAACGAUGAAGGCCUUCGGGUUGUAAAGUUCUUUAGCCGAUGAUUAUAAUGACUGUAGUCGGAAAAUAAGCCCCGGCUAACUUCGUGCCAGCAGCCGCGGUAAUACGAAGGGGGCGAGCGUUAUUCGGAAUCACUGGGCGUAAAGCGUGCGUAGGCGGUUUUGUAAGUUAGGAGUGAAAGCCCAGGGCUCAACCUUGGAAUUGCUCUUAAAACUGCAAGGCUCGAAUCUCGGAGAGGAUAGCGGAAUUUCCAGUGUAGCAGUGAAAUGCGUAGAUAUUGGAAGGAACACCAGUGGCGUAAGAGGCUAUCUGGACGAGUAUUGACGCUGAGGCACGAAAGCGUGGGGAUCAAACAGGAUUAGAAACCCUAGUAGUCC
rnacentral:rRNA from 1 species